CUUCGGGGUACACGAGCGGCGAACGGGUGAGUAACACGUGGGUGAUCUGCCCUGUACUUCGGGAUAAGCCUGGGAAACUGGGUCUAAUACCGGAUAUGACCUUCGGUUGCAUGGCCGUGGGUGGAAAGAUUUAUCGGUACAGGAUGGGCCCGCGGCCUAUCAGCUUGUUGGUGGGGUAAUGGCCUACCAAGGCGACGACGGGUAGCCGGCCUGAGAGGGCGACCGGCCACACUGGGACUGAGACACGGCCCAGACUCCUACGGGAGGCAGCAGUGGGGAAUAUUGCACAAUGGGCGAAAGCCUGAUGCAGCGACGCCGCGUGAGGGAUGACGGCCUUCGGGUUGUAAACCUCUUUCGACAGGGACGAAGCGCAAGUGACGGUACCUGUAGAAGAAGCACCGGCCAACUACGUGCCAGCAGCCGCGGUAAUACGUAGGGUGCGAGCGUUGUCCGGAAUUACUGGGCGUAAAGAGCUUGUAGGCGGUUCGUCGCGUCGUUCGUGAAAACUUGGGGCUCAACCCCAAGCUUGCGGGCGAUACGGGCGGACUAGAGUACUUCAGGGGAGACUGGAAUUCCUGGUGUAGCGGUGAAAUGCGCAGAUAUCAGGAGGAACACCGGUGGCGAAGGCGGGUCUCUGGGAAGUAACUGACGCUGAGAAGCGAAAGCGUGGGUAGCGAACAGGAUUAGAUACCCUGGUAGUCCACGCCGUAAACGGUGGGUACUAGUGUGGGUUUCCUUCCACGGGAUCCGUGCCGUAGCUAACGCAUUAAGUACCCCGCCUGGGGGAGUACGGCCGCAAGCUAAACUCAAAGAAUUGACGGGGGCCCGCACAGCGCGAGCAUGUGAUUAAUCGAUGCACGCGAGACACUUACCUGGGUUUGACAUACA
rnacentral:rRNA from 1 species